GUCACGAAUAUGUUACAGCAAACUAAAAAUAUGACUGCCAACAACGAUGACGAAAAUAUUAGUGGAGCAACGGUACAUGCCAUUUGAAACCAAACAAGCAAACGUAGAAUCACAAACUAAGUUUUUAAUAUGUUCGUGGAUUGU
rnacentral:sRNA from 14 species